rnacentral:rRNA from 1 species
GGGCCCGCACAAGCGGUGGAGUAUGUGGUUUAAUUCGAUGCAACGCGAAGAACCUUACCAGGGUUUGACAUCCUGCGAAUCUCUUGGAAACGAGAGAGUGCCUUCGGGAGCGCAGUGACAGGUGGUGCAUGGCUGUCGUCAGCUCGUGUCGUGAGAUGUUGGGUUAAGUCCCGCAACGAGCGCAACCCACGUCUUUAGUUGCCAGCAUUUAGUUGGGCACUCUAGAGAGACCGCCGGUGAUAAACCGGAGGAAGGUGUGGAUGACGUCAAGUCAUCAUGCCCCUUACAUCCUGGGCUACACACGUGCUACAAUGGUCGGUACAGAGAGCAGCCACUACGCGAGUAGGAGCA